rnacentral:rRNA from 1 species
GUCUGGGAAACUGCCUGAUGGAGGGGGAUAACUACUGGAAACGGUAGCUAAUACCGCAUAACGUCGCAAGACCAAAGAGGGGGACCUUCGGGCCUCUUGCCAUCAGAUGUGCCCAGAUGGGAUUAGCUAGUAGGUGGGGUAACGGCUCACCUAGGCGACGAUCCCUAGCUGGUCUGAGAGGAUGACCAGCCACACUGGAACUGAGACACGGUCCAGACUCCUACGGGAGGCAGCAGUGGGGAAUAUUGCACAAUGGGCGCAAGCCUGAUGCAGCCAUGCCGCGUGUAUGAAGAAGGCCUUCGGGUUGUAAAGUACUUUCAGCGGGGAGGAAGGCGAUAAGGUUAAUAACCUUGUCGAUUGACGUUACCCGCAGAAGAAGCACCGGCUAACUCCGUGCCAGCAGCCGCGGUAAUACGGAGGGUGCAAGCGUUAAUCGGAAUUACUGGGCGUAAAGCGCACGCAGGCGGUCUG